rnacentral:rRNA from 1 species
GACGAACGCUGGCGGCGUGCUUAACACAUGCAAGUCGAACGGAAAGGCCCUGCUUUUGUGGGGUGCUCGAGUGGCGAACGGGUGAGUAACACGUGAGUAACCUGCCCGUGACUUUGGGAUAACUUCAGGAAACUGGGGCUAAUACCGGAUAGGAGCUCCUGCUGCAGGGUGUGGGUUGGAAAGUUUCGGCGGUUGGGGAUGGACUCGCGGGUUAUCAGCUAGUUGGUGGGGUAGUGGCUUACCAAGGCUUUGACGGGUAGCCGGCCUGAGAGGGUGACCGGCCACAUUGGGACUGAGAUACGGCCCAGACUCCUACGGGAGGCAGCAGUGGGGAAUAUUGCACAAUGGGCGGAAGCCUGAUGCAGCAACGCCGCGUGCGGGAUGACGGCCUUCGGGUUGUAAACCGCUUUCGCCUGUGACGAAGCGUGAGUGACGGUAAUGGGUAAAGAAGCACCGGCUAACUACGUGCCAGCCGCCGCGGUAA